GCGGGAAUAGCUCAGUGGUAGAGCNCCACCUUGCCAAGGUGGAAGUCGCGGGUUCGAUCCCCGUUUCCCGCU
rnacentral:tRNA from 1 species